UUUAUCUUUUUUUUUAUUCAAUACGAAUUCAUUGGUAUAGUUUCUUUUCUCUUUUAAAUUCUUGUUAAUGGUGCACAUGCUUCUGAUUUGCGCGUGACAAACGUUUGCGAAUGGAAAAACAAGAUUUCAUAUUUUUAUCAAUGAUAAAAAGUAGUUACUUUUUUGUGCUCCGCGAAAUAAUUUUCAUGCCAAAGUGAUGAAUAAUAAUUAAGAUAAUGUUGCACGAAUAAAACAUAUAUUUGAUCGAAAAGAAUAAUCUGGAAUAAUCUUUUAAUUGAAAUUAAUUUUUUAAGAAAAUAAAAUUUCACGAUCUUUGAACUUCAUUUAAAAUAAAAAAAGAAAAAUUUAUCAAACUUCAUUCUACACACAACACAACUUUAAAAUAUUUAUUUAAUAUUUUAUUUUUUACUUAUUGUUACUGAUAAAAUUUUCGAAGUAUUGUACUUACUUAAUACUCAAAAUUCGAUCGAAAUUUACCGAUGUCAAGUUCUAAGAAUUUUAAUUUGCAUACAAUAAGAUCGAUUUCGAUCUUUCUAUCAAACUAUUAUUUGUUUUUAAUUUCUAAGAAAACUAGAAAAAUCUUGAUGCGCAUGAUUGAAUAAUUGUUUUACUUUAUAAAUGCAUUGUUAGUAACUCUAUAAAUAUCUUUUUAUCUCCAUUCUCCAAUCAAUUAUUAACAGACAGAAGAAAAAUGGUGACGAUUAAUGCAUUUCACCGUGACCGUGAUACGACGAUGGUCGUGCACAUAUGUUUCAUCACGGUCAUUUAUCGUCUUCUUCACCCGUCAUUUAUAGCGUGGGUCGUCCAUGUGGAUUUUUUAAAAUUAAAAAGAAAGAAAGAUUCUGGUUGGACGACAAAUAAGAUUCGCUGUUAUAAAUAUACCGAUAAUUAUCACAAACAUAUGGUCAUACAAAACAAUUGAAUUAUCUAAAUUAUUAUCACUUAAAUCGAUUUAAUCCUGUUUAUACUGUUAAAAUGAAUAUUUUUGAAGGUUUAUAGAUAUUAUAAAAAUUUAAGUCGUUAUUUAUACGUUGAAUUAUUUUUGCUUAAGUUAGGAUAAUACUAUUUUUUAUCUAUAAUAGGUCGAAUGAUUUAAUGUAAUCUAUAUUAUUCAAUUUUCGAGAUUAAUAUUUACAGAUGAAAUUUAACUUUACAUCGUUUUUACCCAUUUAUAAAUUACACUUCAAGUAAGUGAAAGUAACUGCAUUGGUUAAAAUAUUCUUUAAAAAGACUUGAUAAAUUGAAAAGGAAUCUUUUCACUUUAUAUAACUACUUCCACCCAAAAUCGUGUUACUUAAAUACUACGUAGCAGAAUUAAAGAUUGAAUUAUUUCAUGGAACCAUAGACUGCACGUGUUUCAAUAACACGAACGAUACGAAAUAUAUAUUACAAAGAUUUUGAUUUAAUAAAUAUAUUAUCAAAAGUCACGAUUGUUUGUAUCAUUCGAACGUCAUUCAUUUCGUUGUUUAUGUCUCGAUUGCAAAAUUUUGCCAAUUUCGAAAUUCUGUUCGAUUAUAUAUAAUUUUUUUAAAAUCAGUUAUCUCUGGCCAAGUCUGUCCAAAUUUUCGGCAAGAAUAAAAUUUGAAAUCGUGAGAUCUUAAUAUUUCAUAAUUACAUGUAUUUAAUCUUAAAUAUUCGAAAUUCAAAAUAAGAACAAUCCUUGUUUAUCACGAUCUGAUGAUUUAAUUAGAUCGUAAAUACAACACUUAUACCAUUUUUGCAACGAUAUACUAUGGAUAUCUUAUCAAGAAAAAAAAUUAAAUAUCAUUCAUUUAUUGUGCGUGUCAAAAUUUUUCAAAUCUAGAAAUCUGGUUAUUUAAUAAAAAUGUGAUAUAAAUGUCGGAUACUCCAGCUUGUUUUUCCAACUUAUGGCGAGUUAAAUAGGGAUCGCGCCACAAUACGAGUUAAUCUGAUAUAUUCGUUACACGAUAUCACAAUUUCUCUUCCGCUGUUAUUACGACCAAGCAUUAGGUAUUCUCAAGUUGAUUGCCAUAUACUAUCUUCAUGGAAGUGAUAAUGCAAUGGAACUGUUGGGUGCAGGUUAGUUCGGAUAACGGGCAUAUGAUAAUGGUGUACUUACGAUAUAAAUAUUUAGCAUUGUUUUCAAACAUGCGUAUCUAUAUGUGACAUAUUGUUUGAAAAGAAGUUUAAUUACUCAUUCAUCUUAUAAAAUUUUCGAUAAUAUUAAAUUAUAAAAUUUCUAACGAUAUAUAUCCCAUAGAACCGAGAUAUAAAAAUAAUUAUUUUGAAUCCCAUUCCACGUACCAUUCAAUUCCACGUAUUAGUAUUACGAAACUAAAUUUGCUAAGUGAAUCGAAUUAUUGGCUUUAAACUCGAAAUAAGAAAGCUUAAAAAAUUCAGAAGGUUCCUCGAAGACUUAAUUCUCUUAAAUUUCAAUUCAAGAAGUAUCCUGUAAUAUCUUCCAAAAUAUAACCGGAGGUUAAUUUUUUCUCAACUCGAUGCACUUUUUCCCUGUCACUCGUUAUCCACUCGAGAACUUUCCACGUGCCUUUACGACCGCACGAUCGACUGCGUGGGGACGUUAAUUGAUCCCCAACGAGGCGUAAGAAAACGCUCAGUCGAUAAGUAGAGGACGGAAGCGGUCUCGAGCGAUCUCAAAAUAAGAAUACACGGUUAACCUAUCCAUCGUUUCCCGUUCCUUGACGUGGAAACGUUUUCCGCGGAAAAAUCUCCAGUUUAUAACAGGACGUCGGUUUAACCCACUGACACACUAUUUAUCCCCGCGUUACGUCGUUAAUCGGUGAUUCACACGGCCGAGUCCGGUCUUUUAAAACCCUAUUUGCGCGUAAUAUAUAAUUUCGAUUGAUCAAACGAUCGAUAUAGUUCGUGAGCUUUUGAAACAAGAGUAAUUUAAAUUAUUCACGAUACUGUUGUGAAUUAAAAAAUUUUAAACAUGAUAUAAAACUCAUUAGUGUUAUCAUUAGACAUGUUAAUGUCACUUUACAACUUCGUUUCAAAGCUUUAUCUGAGUCUUAUCAUUUAAAGAUUUAAAUGAUCGCUCGGCAAAGUUCAGAAACCUAAACUUAUCGACAAGGAAACAUUCGAUGAGAAAAAAUUUAAAUUUCUAAAAUUUUCAUCUUAUCUUCCUAAAAAUAGAAUCGACGAAUGAAUGCAUAAAAUUCUCUCGAUAAAAAUAAAUCCAAACGCGAUAAUAAAUUUUUUAUUUUGUAUACAUCAAUCAAUAUCCCGGAUGAAUAUUCGAAAGUCAUUCAAACGCCAAAGAAAUAAUUUAACUCAUAUAACGACAAUUAAAUUGAAUCUAAUCGCUCGUUUCUCCCCCCUCCCCCCUUUUUUCCUCCCAUCUUCUAAUAAUACACUCAUUUCCAUAAAACAAGCACAAGAAAAUUAUCGUUUUCGUCACGUUCCCGGUUUGCUAUGAUGAAUUUUAAACGACACAAACAGAUAACGCAACAGGGAAGUUUUGUUUUGCAUAAACCAACCUCGCCCCGCGGCUAAUUUUCCCGCUCUACAAACACAGGCGAUAAGAUAACGCGAGGGAGUUAAGGGAUGAAGAUUAUAUUCGAGUCUGUGACGUCUGUUUUCACCGAUACAUAUAUAUAUAUAUAGUGGUAAAACGAAUAUAUAAUCGGUAAUAAAUUAAAUCACUAAGAGAUGAUAGACUAAUAUCAAAGGUGAUACUUUGCACUUAAGUACAUUGUAUAUUUUUCUUUUCAAUUUUUUCGAAUUUUUUUUCAUCUGAUAAUUACUUUAAACGAUCUAUCUAAAUGUUGAAAAUAUAUUCGCGGGUAUCGAUUUAAGCGGUGAGUUAAGCAAAUGGCUCACAAUCAUUGCUGAAACAUCAGCUUACCAUUUCCAACGUUACGAGCGAUUAAUUUAAACACACCACUUAAGUCGAUGUUUGCAUCACAACAUGUUUCAGCAUCCGUAAACUACUCAACAUAUGAUUAAUUUUACAACUUGGUUGUAUCGUUGGCCUGUACUUUAUAUCCAACGACGAGCGGAAUUUGUAACGUGACCCCGAGUUUUCGCGAUCCUCGAGCAGAAACACGACGCGUGUGCUUUCCACUCGACGAUCGAUCCUGUUUCAAUCGUACGAUUUUUUGUGGAGAUAUGUUAGGAAUUGCGAAGGAUCUUCCUUACUAUCUACUGCAUAGUUCAUGCUCUAUGUUCUUAAUUUUCUUAAGUUCUCAAAAUCCUUCUUCCUUUUUUUUUUAAUUUGAUCGAUACAGAAUUGUGUAAUUUUAUGUUGUUUUGGACAAAUAAAACAAUUUCAAAGAAGGAAAGAUGCGACGAGCAGCAAGGAAUAAUUAUUUGAAUACAAGUAGAAGAUAGAAUAAUUGUCAAAUUAUGAGAAGUAUGACAUGACAAUGAAAACGUUAUGUAUGACGAUUUGUGAAGUAUGUUGCGUGUAGGUGUGAAUGUAAUCCUUUUGAUACGUUCAAAGAAUGCGCAGGUGUUCAAUGUGCAAAUGUCAUAAUGCCGUUUAUUUAAAUGAUUAUGCUUUUGUAAUAGUUCCAGUUUUCUUCCGGUUUUUCAAGUUUUCAUCUCGCAACAGGAAACACGUAAAAUCAUUAUUAUUUUUGUUUUUCAACAAAUGGAACAAAUAUGUAAUUUUAAUAUCAUUCUUUUUCAAGUUUAUAAAAUUCGAUUUUAAGUUUAAAUUGAUACGAAAUUAUUAAGAAUUUAUAAAAUUUUAUAACGAGACAUAAUUGCAAAUUGAAAGAUUUCAAAUAAAACUGAUUUGAGAUAUAGAAA